UACGAACUGUGCAAACGUUAUUCGGAAUCACUGGGCUUAAAGGGUGCGUAGGCGGCUAUCUAAGCAGGGUGUGAAAGCCCCCGGCUCAACCGGGGAAUUGCGUUCUGAACUGGAUGGCUGGAGUGGGAUAGGGGUGUGUGGAACUUCCGGUGGAGCGGUGAAAUGUGUUGAUAUCGGAAGGAACGCCGGUGGCGAAAGCGACACACUGGGUCUCAACUGACGCUGAGGCACGAAAGCCAGGGGAGGCGAACGGG
rnacentral:rRNA from 1 species